rnacentral:rRNA from 1 species
GUCUAUGACCAUACCUCCCUGAAUGUACCCGAUCUCGUCUGAUCUUGGAAGCUUAGCAGGGUUGGGCCUGGUGAGUUCUUGGGUGGGAAAAUUUUGUAGCUUUUAAAGAGAAAAGCUAGAACUCACC